AUAAUGUUUGUGCAAGUGCAGGUGAAGGAGUCGGUGAUGCGAUAGGGUCAAUGAUGGGUGCCGGUGAGGAGGGUGGUGUUGAAGAGGUAAGGAGCAAGUGCGGCAGCGUGGGUGGGAGCAAGGGAACGAGCCUGGUUGGGAGGUAGGGUUGGGGAAGAAGCUGUGGACCAAGAGGUCUCGUAGGUCGUGGGCUCGUUUGAAGGAGGGGAGGGGUCGGUUAGGGAAGAUGUGUGAAGUGAC